AAAUAGAUAAAUAGAUAAAUAGAUAAAUAGAUAAAUAGAUAAAUAAUAGCUUUAUAUUUAUUAUGUUUUUUUCCAUUUAGGUUUUGGGCGGUGAGGUAUGUCUUUGGACAGAGCAAGUUGAUGAAAGUCAGUUAGAUAAUCGGUUAUGGCCCAGAGCUGCGGCCCUGGGUGAAAGAUUAUGGUCCGAUCCCGAUGAUGAACACGAUAUGGACACCGUACCACAAGAUGUUUUCAAACGCAUGUCCGUCUUUCGUAAUCGUCUCGUUGAGUUGGGUCUUAAGGCUGAACCUAUAUUCCCAAAAUAUUGUGCUCAAAAUCCUGGUGAAUGUAUUUGAUAUUUUUUGUAAAUAUUUUAAACAAUCACAACUAAAAAGAAAUGGUCAUUCACAAAAUCUCAAAA